rnacentral:rRNA from 1 species
CGGACGGGUGAGUAAUGUCUGGGAAACUGCCUGAUGGAGGGGGAUAACUACUGGAAACGGUAGCUAAUACCGCAUAAUGUCGCAAGACCAAAGAGGGGGACCUUCGGGCCUCUUGCCAUCGGAUGUGCCCAGAUGGGAUUAGCUAGUAGGCGGGGUAACGGCUCACCUAGGCGACGAUCCCUAGCUGGUCUGAGAGGAUGACCAGCCACACUGGAACUGAGACACGGUCCAGACUCCUACGGGAGGCAGCAUG